UGGGGAAUAUUGCACAAUGUGCGCAAGCCUGAUGCAGCCAUGCCGCGUGUUUGAAGAAGGCCUUCGGGUUGUAAAGUACUUUCAGCGGGGAGGAAGCGAGUAAAGUUAAUACCUUUGCUCAUUGACGUUACCCGCAGAAGAAGCACCGGCUAACUCCGUGCCAGCAGCUGCGGUAAUACGGAGGGUGCAAGCGUUAAUCGGAAUUACUGGGCGUAAAGCGCACGCAGGCGGUGUGUUAAGUCAGAUGUGAAAUCCCCGGGCUCAACCUGGGAACUGCAGCUGAAACUGGAAAGCUUGAGUCUCGUAGAGGGGGGUAGAAUUCCAGGUGUAGCGGUGAAAUGCGUAGAGAUCUGGAGGAAUACCGGUGGCGAAGGCGUCCCCAUAGAAGAAGACUGACACUCAGGUGCGAAAGAGUGAGGAGCAAACAGG
rnacentral:rRNA from 1 species